GAUGAAGAACGUAGCGAAAUGCGAUAAGUAAUGUGAAUUGCAGAAUUCAGUGAAUCAUCGAAUCUUUGAACGCACAUUGUGCCCCUUGGUAUUCCGAGGGGCAUGCCUGUUCGAGCGUCAUAUUAACCACUCCCGCUUGCGGGGUCUUGGGCUUCGCCUCCGGGCGGGCCUUAAAAUCAGUGGCGGUGCCGUCGGGCUCUACGCGUAGUAAAUUUUCUCGCGAUAGGGUCCCGGUGGAUGCUUGCCAACAACCCCCAACUUCUUAAGGUUGACCUCGGAUCAGGUAGGGAUACCCGCUGAACUUAAGCAUAUCAAUAAGCGGAGGA
rnacentral:misc_RNA from 1 species